GAAAAGGCUUGCAGCUGGUUCUCCUCCAACAACAAGUAGUGAAGCCUAAUUUUAGUGAAAUUUUAAAAUGGAAAAUGCUCUUAUACUUCAUUUGUAGCUUUUUUUUUUUUAUUUAUUUACAUGUGUAGUAUCUGGGGAGCUGCCUCUAGUGUCCUCAGCCGAGGGUAACAAGAGACCCGCUUUUCUGGAAAAGUUUGUAGUUCUGUGGGCUCGGACUCCCUCUCCACCUCUGCGCCUUCUCCUCAGUGAACCCACUUUGACUGCUAUUUAGUGCCACAGAUAGUGAGAGGACUGACUACCUGUGCCUGAUAAAACGGCUAAUAGAGAGGGGUCUUUUAGGAGAGGAGGAUGUGGGCACCAACUGGCCAAAGUUGUCAGCGUUAUCUUGGCCAGAGGAGUCUGUACAGAAGUUUCAACUGCUCUCUCUGUCCACCCAGUUCCCAUUGCCUUCCCUGCCAAACCACAGGGACAUACUGCAGGUCUCUCAAUGACCACUAGGGGGAUGCACGAGUCUACACUACCAACUGUACACAUGAAUCCCAGCCAAACACUAUUGUAUUAACAGCAGUGAUGCAUAUUUGAAGAAAAGAAAGAAUGUUUAAACCUACAAUAUAUAGGAUUAAAAAAAAUAUUUUAAAGUCUGAUUUAUUGUUAGUUGCAAGGAGAAUAUUUGCUGCUGAAGAAUGCUGAGUUGAUAAGAUUGUUAUUGACAGUUUAUAAACCUUUAAAACACAUUUUGUGGGGACAUUUUAGCAGGGCUUUGCCAGUUUUCACUUAUACUGCCUCACAAUAGAACAGGAUAAAGACCAUUCACUGUGCUAUGUAUUUGUUUUAAGCGUGUGUAAAUGUUUUUCUGCUUGUGUGUCUGUUUGUAUGUUUCUUAGUAUGUAUUUGCGGAAAGUUUGCGAUUUGUUCCUGUUGGACAGUGUUUUCAUCUUUUUAAUGCUAAACUAUCUAAUGUAAUAAAAUGUAAUUUAGUAUCUCUCACGUGUUCUUUCAUGUAGCUCAGCUGGAGUCCAUAUGCAAGGCUGCACUUCUGACAAAUUUCAUGGGAAUUGCCCAUUUUAAAAUGGAAAUCAGGGAGACAUCAGGGAAAUUUCUAUAGGGAAUAUUCAUGUUUGCCUGCAUAAAAACAGAAUUACUCCUGUGAUGGUAAAGCUGACUUUUCGGCACCCAUCAUUCCACUUUUCAGUGUCACAUGCUCAGAAAUCAUUCUAAUA
rnacentral:lncRNA from 1 species